UACGUAGGUGGCAAGCGUUGUCCGGAUUUAUUGGGCGUAAAGCGAGCGCAGGCGGUUUCUUAAGUCUGAUGUGAAAGCCCCCGGCUCAACCGGAGAGGGUCAUUGGAAACUGGGAGACUUGAGUGCAGAAGAGGAGAGUGGAAUUCCAUGUGUAGCGGUGAAAUGCGUAGAUAUAUGGAGGAACACCAGUGGCGAAGGCGGCUCUCUGGUCUGUAACUGACGCUGAGGCUCGAAAGCGUGGGGAGCAAACAGGAUUAGAUA
rnacentral:rRNA from 1 species